rnacentral:ncRNA from 2 species
UAAGUGCUUCCAUGUUUGAGU